CCCUACAUGCUUAUUAACCCUUAACAGGGAACACAUAUAUAUAUAUAUAUAUUUUUUAUAUAUAUAUAUAUAUAUAUAAAAAAUAUAUAUAUAUAUAUGUGUUCCCUGUUAAGGGUUAAUAAGCAUGUAGGG